ensembl:lncRNA
UGUUGGCCAGGUGUUGUUUGGCCAGGUGUGGUUUGGCCAGGUGUUGUUGGCCAGGUGUUGUUUGGCCAGGCGUGGUUUGGCCAGGUGUUGUUGGCCAGGUGUUGUUUGGCCAGGCGUGGUUUGGCCAGGUGUUGUUUGCCAGGUGUUGUUUGGCCAGGCGUGGUUUGGCCAGGUGUUGUUGGCCAGGUAUUGUUGGCCAGGUGUUCUUUGGCCAGGCAUUGUUUGGCCAGGUGUUGUUUGGCCAGGUGUUUUUUGGCCAGGUGUUGUUUGGCCAGGUGUGGUUUGGCCAGGUGUUGUUUGCCAGGUGUUGUUUGGCCAGGCGUGGUUUGG